UACGGAGGGUCCGAGCGUUAUCCGGAUUUACUGGGUUUAAAGGGUACGUAGGCGGCCUUGUAAGUCAGUGGUGAAAUCCUACAGCUCAACUGUAGAACUGCCAUUGAUACUGCGAGGCUUGAGUACAGUUGGAGUGAGCGGAAUGUAUCAUGUAGCGGUGAAAUGCAUAGAUAUGAUACGGAACACCGAUCGCGAAAGCAGCUCACUAAGCUGUCACUGACGCUGAGGUACGAAAGCGUGGGUAGCAAACAGG
rnacentral:misc_RNA from 1 species